UGGGGCGUGGCCAAGUGGUAAGGCAGUGGGUUUUGGUCCCGCUAUUCGGAGGUUCGAAUCCUUCCGUCCCAG
rnacentral:tRNA from 3 species